UAUCCACUGGCGAGGUGUUAGAAGAUACUUUGCCAAAAAUAAAAAAUAAAUGACUUGUUUUUGCUUAUAAUUUCAGCCAAAUGCCCUCCGUCUCCUGACAACAGCUCCGAGCUCUCUGAGAAACUGAAUCCAGAUUCUAAAUCCUAAACCCCUCACCCUGCAGACGGUUCAUGGAUGCAUGUUGCACUGGAUCAAGCGGCGGAGCCCCGUUCUCCUCCAUAAAGUUAUUAUAUUAUUCAUCAUCAAAUCAUAAACUGGUAGAAUCAGGGUUGGGGUUUAGUUGGAGAUGCUCAUUGAUUGGAAUACAAAGAAAUAACAUUUGAAAAAAAGGUUGACAAUUAUUUUCUAAAUAUGAUCAAAAUGAAAUGAUUACAUUAUUUGGAUCAUUUAGUUUAAUUUAAAGUGGUGUUUCCUCUGAUAAAAUAUUUAUUUAAAUGUUAAUAAAUUAAAAUGAGGAUGAAUAUUUUUGGAGAGGAGAAAAAAAAACCUGAUUCAAAUCAAUGAAAGCAUCUCAGCACCCUUCAUACAUGAUAAAGAUUUAUGUGUGUUUAUCUAAAUUAAAUUCACCAUAGUUACAGUUUGAUUCUUCUGCUGUCGGGCUUUUCUGGUUAAAUUAAUAUUGGUAACACGUUAACACAUUGGUUACACAUAAUCACACAGACAUACA